GCUGGACCAUUCACAUGACAGUCACAUGAUUUGACUGAUGACCUCCUGCCAUUAGCAACAAUCACAACAUCAUCGCUCAGAUAAACAGCAUCCCGUUUCAUUGGAGAAACUUCCAGUGUCGACCGAGUUGAUGAUCUCUUCAAUUCCCCCUUCUUUAAAUGUCCUCGUGUACGCUCACGUGAAUGUGGGUGUAUUCACGAGGACACCCUUUGUCUUAUUCCGUCUGGUGGAUUCAACAUUUCAACGGAUGGAUGGAACACUUGCAGAUGGAUGCCUGGCUGUGGAUUUCCCAGGCUUAAAGUUUUACGAUUUACCAUAUCCCGGCCGAUUGAUUCUUAUUCGCCACGCCAACUUUUAUGUAUAACAUCGAGAGAGAAAAUUUCAAAAUGGAAAAGCCGGCCGCCAUCGAUUCGAGCACGUAUAAAAUACCUUAUUUCUUUUCUUUUCUUCUUUUUCAGCUAUAUAGCUUCGCCGAGUAAUAAAAUUUGGAGGAACUUUAAGGACGGAGAAUAGGACGCGAAAUCGAGAUCAAUGUCCGAAUGGGGAAAUUCAAUUUGAUCGCAAAAUAUUUCUAUUCUUCAAAAAAAAAGAAGAUUUAGUAUAUAUAAAUUUCUGAGACGGGCCUUUAUAUUUAGCCGACGUCAUUUUCUUUUUCUUUCUUUUUUUUUUGGUCGGCCCAUGUAGUCCGUUUUCUAACGUAAUGCAUUUUGCAGUCCAUCAAUUUUGGAAUAAGGUGUACAACGUCGCACUCCAUCGAUUGAUCAAAAACGUCGAUAGCCAAAAUAGAAAAAAGAAUUGGCAUGGAACGAAAUUUUCUCUCCUUUUUUUUUUAAAUUUCCCGCCAGAUCAAUACGUUUCUUUAAAACAAAAAAAUUUAAAAUUUUGUUUUCAUUUUCCACCGAUUAUUAUGCACAAAGUUGACCUCGUCUUGACGCCAACUCUCUUCCGUACAGAUGGCGGAAUUUGUUUCUCCAAAAAAUAUAAGAACAAUAAAAAAAGAGCUGCCGUCUGGCUUGUCUUCUCUACCGACUUGUAUUCUCGCACGAUCUCUGCCGUUGCGCAUAAAAAUGUCCUGAUUACAGCACGUUAGCUCUCGGGGAUCGAUCGAAAGACCCCCGACGAGAGAAGCGAUUAGCAUCACAGAAGCUUUUAGAAUAAGAGGAAGGUUCGGACAUUCAUAUUCAUAUGUAUCGACAGCUGGAUAGGAAAAAAGAGAUUCUUUCGAGUCUUUUUUAGUGUUUUUCCUUUUUAUUUUAUUUAUUUUUUUUUUCAUUUAUU